CCUACGGGUGGCAGCAGUAGGGAAUAUUGCUCAAUGGGGGAAACCCUGAAGCAGCAACGCCGCGUGGAGGAUGAAGGUUUUCGGAUUGUAAACUCCUUUUGUUAGAGAAGAUAAGGACGGGAUAUAACGAAUAUGCACCGGCUAACUCCGUGCCAGCAGCCGCGGUAAUAUGGAGGGUGCAAGCGUUACUCGGAAUCACUGGGCGUAAAGAGCGCGUAGGGGGGAUAGCAAGUCAGAUGUGAAAUCCCCGCGCUCAAAGUGGGAACUGCCUUUGAAACUGGCAAACUGGAGUGUGUGAGAGGCUGGUGGAAUUCCAGGUGUAGGAGUGAAAUCCGUAGAUAUCUGGAGGAACAUCAGUGGCGAAGGCGGCUUUCUGGCCCAUAACUGACGCUGAGGAGCGAAAGCGUGGGUAGCAAACAGGAUUAGAUACCCUUGUAGUC
rnacentral:rRNA from 1 species